GACGAACGCUGGCGGCGUGCUUAACACAUGCAAGUCGAACGGAAAGGCCCUGCUUUUGUGGGGUGCUCGAGUGGCGAACGGGUGAGCAACACGUGAGUAACCUGCCCUUGACUUUGGGAUAACUUCAGGAAACUGGGGCUAAUGCCGGAUAGGAGCUCCUGCUGCAUGGUGGGGGUUGGAAAGUUUCGGCGGUUGGGGAUGGACUCGCGGCUUAUCAGCUUGUUGGUGGGGUAGUGGCUUACCAAGGCUUUGACGGGUAGCCGGCCUGAGAGGGUAACCGGCCACAUUGGGACUGAGAUACGGCCCAGGCUCCUACGGGAGGCAGCAGUGGGGAAUAUUGCACAAUGGGCGGAAGCCUGAUGCAGCAACGCCGCGUGCGGGAUGACGGCCUUCGGGUUGUAAACCGCUUUCGCCUGUGACGAAGCGUGAGUGACGGUAAUGGGUAAAGAAGCACCGGCUAACUACGUGCCAGCAGCCGCCGUAACAC
rnacentral:rRNA from 1 species